AUGAAACGGAAGAAGGUUGUCGGAGGGGUGACCUAAUCCCCUCACUAGCUUUCCCUUCUCUUUCCCCAGACAGCAGCCCGAGCCGCCUCCUUCAAGAUCCAGCGCCGCCGCCUGGGGUCCGCCCGGCCACCGGCUACGCUCAGCGGCGCCGCCGCGCCCCUGAUGUGUGCCUGGCCUGGUGCCCCGCAAUAGCCGCUCCUGCCGGGCUCCACGCACCGCCGCAGGUCGCGACCGCCAGCAGCACCACAGCAUCGUGGGGCACGGACGCCGCAGCAGCCGCGUGCGCCGUGUGCGCCGGCCGCUGGCCGCCCCGUCGGGUGCAGCGAGGGAUCGCGGUGGGCGGCGCGAGGGAGCAGAUCGAGGCGGCGCGGGACGAGCUCGACGUGCGGCGGGAGCAAAUCGGGGCUUCCCGCUUGCGCGCUGCAGCCACCUCCCACAAUGCGGCGGCGCUGCUACUUCUCCUCGACGUCCGCCGCCUAAGCCUCCGCCACCUCCUCGGCGCCCCGCGAUAUCUUCAUCUCCGGAGAUGGGUGUGUUAAAGAUCAGGAUCAACCAGAGGCUACUGCACUGCAGACAUUGCCACCGACGCCGACACCCACCCCUCCCGCCCGCCGACACUCCCCUCCCGCCCGCCAACACUCACUGCUGUGUAUUGGACAGAAUCAUCCAUCAGAUGAGGUUCAAAUGCAACUUCUGCGACUCUGGAUACAUCCCCUACAGCAAGUUUCUGGUGCACCUGUGCGACACUACUCCCGCCCAUCUCAAGUCCGUCUUUGCCAGGGGAGAGUGCAUCCUCGCCACAAGUGCCCUUAUGUGUUCUGAAUGCGGCCUUCCUCUCCGACCUCCCAUUUUCAGGCGUCUCCCUUGGAGAACUCCUAUUUGUACUGCCUGCUGCCAUAAUGGUGAUGUCACCAGCUACCGUCACAACCGUGAGCUCGAACACCUCAUCCAAGGCAUCACGGUGAAAUGCGAGGCUUGCAAACAAUACCUUCCAUUCUCCACCUUUGCUUCGCACAAGCUGGUCAACUUGUGUGGGGAAAACAAGCAAAAGGCUCCUUAUGAGGUUGGUAAAAUGGAUGAGAGCAUUGUUCACGGUGAUGAGGUUGGGAAUGAUGAUGACUCAUCUGGUGACAACCAUGGCACGAGUGAGGAUGUGUUCAGUUUUGAAGAUGAUUCAGUGGAGGAAGGGGAGGAAGUUGAAAAGCCUAAGGCUGUGAAAAGGGUGGCUGAGAACGCCUUUAAGACACUACCCUGUGAUAGGGAAGCAAAUAUCACAAUGCCAUAUGGGCAGAAACCAGCAGCUCCUACUGCAGCCCAGGCCAGUGCGUCGCCGUUUCGUCGCCUACCCAUCAUGGCGCCCUCAAAGCCACCUCUACCACCGUUCAUACCUCAUCGCCCAGGCACCCGUCUCUUCCAAGCAGUUGGCAACAAGAAUAGGGCCCAGGCUCCCUCGAAGCCACCUCUACAACUGUUACCUUGUCGCCCAGUCACCCGUAGCAGGAAGAGGGGUAACUUUUAUUUUUUACUUGUAAUUAAAUCAUAUUAUCCAUCAACGCCGCAGCAUGAACUUGUUUCUAAAUUUGGUUUAUAAAAUUUUAUGGUGAUAAAAUCAGCGCUCUUAACUGAUGGCUCAACCAGCGACAAAUGAUGGGAGAUACCAAUAUCUCGUCUCUGGUCGCUUCUUUCGCUCAUAGGCCAGCAGAUCUCCUGUCUUCAGAGCGAUGCUUGAGAAUGAGAUGGAAGAGAGGAGUGGUGUAAUCAAAAUCUAUGAUGUUGGCUAGUCUAGAUGAGCAAAUGGCAUCUGACCUCUUGGUGUUGGCUGAGAAGUAUGAAGUAAAGCACCUAAAGGCCUACUGCGAAAAGUUCAUAACAUCCAAAGUGAACAACGAUAAUCCUAUUGUCCACUAUGCCUUUGCACACCGUCACAGUGCGAAGCAGCUACUGGAGGCAUCCCUUUCUGUGCUCAUGGACAAUAUGUCUACACAAGCGGAUCGCGAAGAGUACAAGGAUCUUGUUGAGAAGGACCCAAGGCUUGCUGUGGAGAUCUAUGAAGCCUAUCUCAACCGGCAAGUCAACACUGCAGCUGGGAAGGACACAGAUUGUAGUAGCAGGAAAUAAUGAUUACGAACAGAACUAGUUGAGUGGUAGUAGUCUGACUAUGCAUUUGUGCAUUCAUGCAAGCAUGGCUUCAACAUUGAAUUCCCCUGCUGUUUAGAUACAAACUGCUGAACUUUGAAGUUUGAAUGGUAAUCAAUUUGAUGGUGUUGCUGGUGAUGGCAUGUUCUGAAUUUUGAUGUUGAUAAUGAAAUGCGAUGUAAUGCCAUCUUGCAAACUGA